UACAGAGGGUGCGAGCGUUAAUCGGAAUUACUGGGCGUAAAGCGCGCGUAGGCGGCUUUGCAAGUCGGGUGUGAAAUCCCCAGGCUUAACCUGGGAACUGCAUUCGAGACUGCAUUGCUAGAGUAUGGGAGAGGGAAGUGGAAUUUCCGGUGUAGCGGUGAAAUGCGUAGAUAUUGGAAGGAACACCAGUGGCGAAGGCGGGUCGCUGGGCAGUAACUGACGCUGAGGAGCGAAAGCGUGGGGAGCGAACAGG
rnacentral:rRNA from 1 species